rnacentral:tRNA from 1 species
AAGGUUCUAGCUUAAUAAAAGCAUCUGAGUUGCAUUCAGGGGAUGCAGGGUAAUGUCCUGCGGAUCUUA